rnacentral:rRNA from 1 species
UUCUGUUUGAUCCUGGCGGAGGCUACUGCUAUUGGGAUUCGAUUAAGCCAUGCGAGUUGAAUGAAUUUAGAUUCAUGGCGUACGGCUCAGUAACACGUGGAUAACUUACCCUUAGGACUGGGAUAACUCUGGGAAACUGGGGAUAAUACCGGAUAUUAGGCUAUGGCUGGAAUGCUUUGCCUUUGAAAUGUUUCUUGUAUUCGCCUAAGGAUAGAUCUGCGGCUGAUUAGGUCGUUGGUGGGGUAAUGGCCCACCAAGCCUAUGAUCGGUACGGGUUGUGAGAGCAAGAGCCCGGAGAUGGAACCUGAGACAAGGUUCCAGACCCUACGGGGUGCAGCAGGCGCGAAACCUCCGCAAUGUACGAAAGUGCGACGGGGGGAUCCCAAGUGUUAUUCUUAAUAGGAUAACUUUUCAUUAGUGUAAAAAGCUUUUAGAAUAAGAGCUGGGCAAGACCGGUGCCAGCCGCCGCGGUAACACCGGCAGCUCAAGUGGUAGCUGUUUUUAUUGGGCCUAAAGCGUUCGUAGCCGGUUUGAUAAGUCUUUGGUGAAAGCUUAUGGCUUAACUGUAAGAAUUGCUGAAGAUACUGUCAGACUUGAAGUCGGGAGAGGUUAGAGGUACUACCGGGGUAGGGGUGAAAUCCCUAUAUCCUGGGAGGACCACUGUGGCGAAGCGUCUACUGGACGAUCUUGAGGUGAGUACGAAAGCAGGGCGCGAACCGGNUGAUACCGGUAGUCUGGCGUAACAUGUGACUUGUGUGAAAUGCUCAGUGUCAGGCCAAGGACUGUAGUCACGCUGGAGUACGCCAGAUGACUUAAGAUGCGGGACACCACCUGAGCUGCGUAUGAUCACGCGAUUACAGAGACCUGUCACGUGAACUAUGAUCUAAGAGCUGCCUACCCACGGCCGU